AGACCGCCUGGCCUUGGGUGGAUCGGGUCUCUGGGCAGAGCGUGUGUCCGGCAGAGCUAGGACCGGAAAAAGCCACUCUAGGUCUAGGUUAGGAGUGAUGACAGUUAAAAGAUAUAUAAGGAAAAGAAGGAAAGGAUCGUUUCUGUAUAAAACGAGCUAUUUUUGCAUAUCGAGCGCAUAAGUUUUAUAACUUAGGUGUCUGUUUAUGGAGAGGGUGGGAUACUACCUUUUAGCUCAAGGAGUGCACAAAACGGUAUCAUGAAUUCUGCUCUUUUGAUUCAAACACCCAACUUUGAAGAAUCGCUCAUGGUGCUUGUAAAACACGUAUCCCCAGAUCCCUCCCUAGACCUAUCGAACAACUCCAACGGUCUCGGGAAUGUGCGUGGUUUCUGAAAAGCUUGGGAAGCAAGACCUGACUAGACCCCCAAAUCUGAUAUUGGCUGAAUGGCCGACCAAUGGAGUGCAUAAGAAGUCUGGAUACAAAGGCAGCCCAAUUUCUAGAAAUGUAUACCAGCCAUGAAGAGAUAAAGCUCCAAGAGGAGAUUUCUCUUUCUGGUAUAAGGAUUUAAACAAAACCUAGAAUGUCGCAGUACUCGAAGUAUCCAAAACAACUGAAAAAUGAAGAAGAAUAAAAGAAGAAUCCAAAAGUAUCCAAAAUAACUGAACAUAUGAAGAAUCAUGGCUGGGCACAGUGACUGGCUCAUGUCCGUAAUCCUAGCAUUUUGGGAGGCUGGGGGCGGGGAGGCAGGGACAGGGAUCACUUGAGGUCAGGAUUUCAAGACCAGCCUGGCCAACAUGGUGAAAUCCCAUCUCUACUAAAAACACAAAAAUUAGCUGGGUGUGGUGGCGCAUGCCUGAAAUCCCAUUUGAGGCCGGGCAUGGUGGCUCAGGCCUAUAAUACCAGCACUUUGGGAGGCCAAGGCGGGUGGAUCACUUGAGGUCAGGAGUUGGAGACCAGCAUGGCCAACAUGGCAAAACCCCAUCUCUACUGAAAAUACAAAAAUUCACUGGGCAUGGUGGUGUGUGCCUGUAAUCCCAGCUACUUGGAGGCUGAGGCAAGAGUAUCGCUUGAACUUGGGAGGCAGAGGUUGCAGUGAGACAGGAUCGUGCCACUGCACUCCAACCUGGGUGACAAUGUGAGACUCCGUCUCAAAAAACAAAACCAAACAAACGAACAACUGAAAAAAAAAAAAAGGCAGUAAACUCUGGGGAAGGGGGAGAGUCUGAUUUCCAGGGUUACAACAUUAUUAGAUUCAAAUUUCCAGUUUUCAACAAAAAAAAAUCACAAAGCAUAAAAGAGACAGGGAAGUAUGGUCCAUUCAAAGGAAAAAAAAUUAACCAACAGAAACUGACCCUGAGGAAGACCAGUAAACAAUUAUCUUAGGCCAAGUGCGGGGGCUGACGCCUAUAAUCCCAGCACUUUGGGAGGCUGAGGCAGGCAGAUCACUUGAGGUCAGCAGUUUGAGACCAGCCUGGCUAACAUAGUGUAACGCCAUCUCUAACAAAAAUACAAAAAUUAGAUGGGCAUGGUGGUGCGCACCUGUAGUCUUGGCUACUAGGGGUGCUGAGGCUCAAGAAUCACUUGAACCUAGGAGGCGGAGGUUGCCGUGAGCUGAGAUCGCGCCACUGCACUCCAGCCUAGGUGACAGAGCAAGACCCUGUCUCAAAAACAAAAACAACACACACACACACACAAAAAUUAUCUUAAAGGUACUCAAAGAACAACAACAACAAAAAAAAAACACUGAGAAAAAUGCAAGAAAACUAUGUACGAACAAAAUAGAAAUACCAAUAAAGAGGUAGAAAACCGAAAAAGAUGCCAAAAAGAAAGUGUUCAGAGUUGAAAAGUACAAUAAAGCAAAUGCAAAAUUUACUAGAGGAACACGAAGGCUGAUUUGACCAGGCGGGGGUGGGGGGGCACGGGGAAUCAACAAACCUGAGGAUAGGACAAAUGGAAUUAAUUAUUCAGUCUGAGUCAGAGAAAGAAAAAAAAAAUGAAGAAAAGUGAACAGAGCCCAGGGGACCUAUGGGACACCAUCAAGAAAGCCAACAUGCACACUGUGGAAGUCCUAAAAGAAGACAGAUAAUAGGAGGCAGAGACAUAAUUUGAAGAAAUAAUGACCCAAAACUCCCCAAAUUUGGUGAAAGACAUGAACAUAAACAUCCAAGAAGCUCAUCAAACUCCAAGUAGGAUGAACUUAAAGAGAUCUAUACCAAGACAAAUUAUAAACAUGCUAUUAAAAGACAAAGACAGAUAUAAUCUUGAAAGCAGCAAGAGGCAACUCAUCAAAUAUAAAUAAUCAAUAGUAGCAGCAGAUUUAUCAGAAACUUCAGAAUUCAGAAGGCAAUGGGCUAAUAUAUUCAAAGUGCUAAAUGAAAAAACAAAAACUGUUAACCGAGAAUCCUAUUUUCAGCUAAAACGUCCUUCAGAAGUUGGAGAAAAAUUAAAACAUUCCCAGAUAAACAAAAGCUGAGGAAAUUACUACUAGACCUGACCUGUAAGAUAAAAUAAAGGGAAUUCUGCAGGUUGAAAUGAAAGGAUAGUAACUUGGGCCAAGCCCAGGAGCUCAGGCCUGUAAUCCCAGCACUUUGGGAGGCUGAAGUGGGAGGAUCACUUGAGGUCAGGAGUUCGAGACCAGCCUGGCCAACAUAGUGAAAACACAAGUCUACUUUAAAAACAAACAAACAAACAAAAACAACCACAAAAAUCCACCGGGCAUGGUGGCAUGCCCCUGUAAUCCCAGCUACUCAGAAGGCUGAGACAGGAGAAUCACAUGAACCCCGGAGGCAGAGGUUGCAGUGAGCCAAGAUCGUGCCACUGCACUCCAGCCCGGGCAACAGAGCAAGACUAAUCAUAGACAGAAUGUAGAAUAGUGGUUGCUAGGGUGGUGCUGGGGUGAAUGAGGAGUUACUGUUUAAUGGGUACAGAGUUUCAGUUCUACAAGAUAAAAAGAGUUCCUGGAGAUGGAUAGCAGUAAUGGUUGCAUUCAAUAUGAAGGUACUUAACAUCACUGAACACUUAAAAAUCUUGAAGACACAACCUGGCCAACAUAGUGAAGCCCCAUCUCUACAAAAAAACAAAAAUUAGCUGGGCAUGGUAGUGGAUGCCUAUAGUCCCAGCUACUCGGGAGGCUGAGGCAUGAGAAUCACUUGAACCUGGAAGGCAGAGGUUGCACUGAGCCAAGAUCGUACCAGUGCACUCCACCCUCGGGCAACACAGCGAGACCCUGUCUCAAAAAAAAAAAAAAGUUAUUUUACCACAAUAAAAUUUUUUUUUAAAAAAUGAACAAAACUGUGAAAUGAACAGGAUCUGUG
rnacentral:lncRNA from 1 species